UCCGUGCGGCGCUAUAGAACGCGCGCAAGUGUCACUCGUGCGGGGAAAAAGAGUAACGAUUUAGUAAUCGUUGGAAGCGCUCACAGAGCUCACGGAUAUACGAUCGCUAGUUCAUAGCUUGAUCAUUCUUCCAUUGUCGUAUGUGACACCGCGAUUUUUACACGCGAUCGAGAGUGUGCGAGGGCAGGCAGGCAGGAGCAUCGGCUCCGUUCGGCCCACACAUACACAUACGAGUCCCGCUGUGACUCGUAUGUCGUGCGAGAGCAAAAAUUGUUUUUUGUAUCUUCGAGGCACAUAAGCCGUACCUGCGAUUCACGUGCUCUGCAACUGGCAGGCACGUGCGCAAUAAAGAGAAGAAGAACACGCCUAGGUUAAUUUAGAAACCUACCCUCCACUUGUAAUCGGCGAGAGAGCAAGAAGAUACAAAAAUCCUAAAAGCCGAGCCCAGUGUGAGGCGCCCUCUGCACAACCGUGCACAUGAACUACGUUGCCAAUGUCCACACCUCUUUUCUGAUUUCCCCCACCACGCACGCACUCAUAGCCGACUCAGAGUAUCCAUGUGGACCACAGACUUCUAUAUAACAACUAGACUGCUAACUUCUUAUAUUUUGACUUUACAUUUCUGUCCCCCAAAAGUAUGUGCUAAAAGUGCGUUGCUGCGCGUGCGCCAAAUAAGCGCACAAGGAAUGUUGUUUACAUUGUGAGCAUAUGGCCGCAUAGUGUGUAGUGUGUAGUGUAGUGUAAGAAUUUGGGAAAAUAUAAAAGAAGUCAACAUGCCGCACAAGUGUAUCAUAGAUGAAUGUCAAAAUGUACAAAGAAAAAACUGUGGAAUUUCUUUCUUUAAUUUUAUUAGAUAAAUGGACUACAGCUAUUAAAAAUAAAAUACACUGCCCUAUAACUACAAGUAGUAUAAUUUGGGAGCGACAUUUUAAAAAAGAAUUUCUUUCUGGACGAGAAAGAAAAAGAUUAAAAAUAAAUGCAAUUCCAACAGAAUUUUUAAUGCUACAAACAGACCCAUUGAAAGAAUUAAAUAAUCUAAUAAAUUUAUAUGGACAUGUUAAUACUGACAGCAGAGAAGUAAUUGUCGCAAUAGCUGCAGGUUCUACCAUGUGUAGCAUGGAUGAAAAUAUUGCACCUGAUCUUACUGACAGCAGAGAAGUAAUUGUUGCAACAGCUGCAGGUUCUACCAUGUGUAGCAUGGAUGAAAAUAUUGCACUUGAUCUUACUGACAGCAGAGAAGUAACUGUCGCAACAGCUGUAGGUCCUACCAUUUGUAGCAUGGAUGAAAAUAUUGUACCUGAUCUUACAGAAGCAGAAAGAACUGUUGGGAAAGAUGCAAAUUUUAACAUGGAUGUACAUAUUGUAUCUGAUCCUGCAGAAGAUAAGCCACAUAAUUUAUUAUUACAAAUUGAAACUCUAAAAGCAGAAAAUGAAUGUUUGACAGCUCUGAUGGAAUCGUUGAAAAACGAUCGUAAGAAACAAUUGGAAAAUGUAGCAGAUACUUAUCAGCGGUUGUUACAAGAGCAAAAAAAGUUAAUGAAAAAUAAAUUAACAUCUGCUUUAAAUAAAGUCAAUUUAAAUUAAAUAAAGUCAAAUUAUUAAAUCGGCAAAGGAAAAGAUCAAAUGUUAAAAUAGCCAAUCUGCUAAAAGAAGCCAAGAACAAAAAAAUAUUACAUGAGGAAUCAUUUGAUAUUUUAAGUAGUCAGUUUCAAACUACAUUCAAACAUAUUAUAAACAACGAAAAAUUGAACAGAAACAAGGCCUCUCGUGGCAGGCGUUACAACGAAGAGGUAUGUUUGCACGUCUCUUCCUUUUUUUCAUUUGCAUUUUAUGCCUCUUCUAGUAAAAGGUAAGUAUUUUUUCAUAUCUCGUAUAUUACAACUAACAAGUAUGUUACAUGUUACAUUGUGUUUGCUGAGUUAUAAUUGUGAUAACUUGGAGCGCUGCAAUUUCAUCACAAAAAAUGCAUGAAAACCAUUUUACAUAAGCAAGUAUACAUAAUCAAUACUUAGAUAAUUAUGCAUUUAAUUGUAACAAGUUGGGUUAUCUUCUUUAUCUUCUUUAACUCCACACAGUGCAAAAUCUCUAAAGGAUGUCUACAGAUUGUUCUGCGGUUGAUCGUUAGGAUGUCAGCAGAACAUACUUUAGAACGUUUUGUGGAGAUUUAUGUUCUUUGGAAUAAGUUAGCCUUUUUCCUUACUAAUUAUUUUAUAAUUCACUUAUUAAAUACUAUUUACUGGAAUAUUUCUUAAAUAAGGAAUAUUUCUUUAAUAAAACACUUUUUCUUAACAUUUUAUAUGCAAGCAAUAUUGUAAUUUACUAUUGCAUUAA
rnacentral:misc_RNA from 1 species